rnacentral:rRNA from 1 species
GACGAACGUUGGCGGCGUGCUUAAUACAUGCAAGUCAACUGAAGCAGUGGUAGCAAUAUCGCUUUGGAGGUGGCGCACGGGUGAGUAACCCGUAGGUAAUCUGCCUUCAGGUCUGGCAUAACUCCGGGAAACCGGGGCUAAUAGCAGAUGAUGCAGCGGCUCGACAUCGAGACAGUUGUUAAAGCUAUGGCGCCUGAAGAUGAGCCUGGGUCUGAUUAGCUAGUUGGCGGGGUAACGGCCCACCAAGGCAACGACCAGUAGCUGGUCUGAGAGGAUGAUCGGGCACACUGGAACUGAGACACGGUCCAGACUCCUACGGGAGGCAGCAGUAAGGAAUAUUGCUGAAUGGGAGAAAUACUGAAGCAGCAACGCCGCGUGAGGGACGAAGGGCUUUUGCUUGUAAACCUCUGUAGUGAGAGAAAAAAAUCCCAAUCUUUGGGACAUGAUGGUAUCUCAAAAGUAAGCCCCGGCUAACUACGUG